AGAGUUUGAUCCUGGCUCAGGAUUAACGCUAGCGGCAGGCCUAAUACAUGCAAGUCGAGGGGCAGCAGGGUGUAGCAAUACACUGCUGGCGACCGGCGCACGGGUGCGUAACACGUAUGUAACCUUUCCUUAACUGGGGAAUAGCUCCGAGAAAUCGGGAUUAAUACCCCAUAACACUGCGAAGUGGCAUCACUUUGCAA
rnacentral:rRNA from 1 species